rnacentral:lncRNA from 1 species
AAAAUGGUUAUGUCUCUUUAAAUGAGAAUUGGAUUUUCAUUUCAUUUAGCUCCAUUUAAAUCAAUUCUAUGGAUACAAAAACCAAAUGACAAUGUUGCAUUCAAAGUUUAAUUAGUUAAAGCGUUAAUUAAUUAAAGGGUGAUUAUGAACCUAAGCCUACGAUAAUUGAGCUAUGUGAAAGGCCAUCUCAAAUUUGUUUGAACCAUGGGAAUGUGUAGAUUAGAUUUUGGUUGUAAUUUGAUAUGAUCAAAUGUUGUAAAAG